UUUUUCUGUCAAAUGUGGUCAGACAAUUUUUGCUCAUUAAGGAGAGAGUGCUGCCACUUAAUGGGUUAAAGCUUUUCUGUAAAUGUAAAUUUUUUGAACGAUAACUAUGUAAUAGCCGGUACUGUGCUGGGAAUGGAACCUGCUGCCCUACAGGUGAUUCUGAUCAGCUUUUUAACCGUCAAAGGUCCUGAAGCCCUAAGAGUCCAUCGCCCUGACAGUCAAUCAAGCUCUACUGUAACCAAGAGUUCAUGUAUAUAAUACUAGUGUCAUCCUAGGCAGUUUAUUUAAUACACUACCAAUGACACCACCAUGGUAUACACACAACAACUUGUGGUUACCUCUUGGCAAAAGGGCUCUUUAGGUCAGAGGGCUGCAGUAGAAUUGCAGGGCUGCAGGUUCAAUUCAUGCUGACAGGCUUGUAAUUGUAUUGCACAUGUAUUCAUGAUAUCAUUCUAAUCAUGUAUUCAUGAUAUCAUUCUAAUCAAUUUAGAACUUCAUUAAAAUAUUAUAGGGCGUAAGAGUAUUUCAUUAUAUUAUGCUACAGCGAAUUGUAUUUCCUGCUAUAAUAUACCUUACUUGUAGGGAUAAUAAAUUAUUUUGACUCGAAAAAUGUCUUUAUUGAUUUCUAAAGUUAGUUAAAGACUUUUCUUUACUCCGAUAUAUAGAAGUCAUUUUGUCUCCAAAGGAGUCGACUUGACUCCAAAAGUGGAUUAAAUAAAAAAGGUACAGAACGACUCCUUUUUUGGAGUAAAUUGUACUCCUUUAUUUACUCCAUUUUUGGUGUAAAUUUUACUCCUUAAGUAGAGUUGUUUUUACUCUUUGUGGGGCUUCGGUGGCCAAGUGGUUAGCGCACUUGCCUUUCACCUCUGAGGCUGCAGGUUCGAGUCUCACU